UUCAUGCAUGCCUGCUGGUUUUGAGUGGCAUCGACCCUCUUAAAUGAGUCUUCUUUUUGAAGUCUGGAGCCAUACAUGGAUGAAAACUUUGUUUCAAGAGCCUUUGCCACCAUGGGAGAGCUUGUACUGAGUGUAAAAAUCAUUCGAAACAGGUUGACAGGAAUUCCAGCAGGCUAUUGCUUUGUAGAAUUUGCAGAUCUAGCUACUGCAGAGAAAUGUUUACACAAAAUCAAUGGAAAACCGCUUCCUGGUGCUACACCGGCAAAGCGAUUUAAAUUGAAUUAUGCAACAUAUGGAAAACAGCCUGAUAACAGUCCAGAAUAUUCACUUUUUGUGGGAGACCUGACUCCUGAUGUGGAUGAUGGCAUGUUAUAUGAAUUUUUUGUUAAAGUUUAUCCAUCGUGUAGAGGUGGAAAAGUUGUUUUGGACCAGGCAGGAGUAUCCAAAGGUUACGGGUUCGUGAAAUUCACGGAUGAACUGGAACAGAAAAGAGCGCUGACAGAGUGUCAAGGAGCUGUGGGGUUGGGCUCUAAACCUGUACGCUUGAGUGUGGCUAUACCAAAAGCUAAUCGUGUGAAACCAAUGGAGUACAAUCAGAUGUACAACUAUAAUUAUAACCAAUAUUACCAACAAUAUCACAACUACUAUGCCCAGUGGGGCUAUGACCAGAACACAGGCAGUUACAGCUACAGCUAUCCCCAGUAUGGAUACACGCAGAGCACAAUGCAGACAUAUGAAGAAGUUGGUGAGGAUGCAUUGGAAGAUCCGGCGCCUCAGUUAGACGUCCAUGAAGCAAAUAAACAGUUUAUGGAACAGAGUGAAGAGCUUUACGAUGCCUUGAUGGACUGUCAUUGGCAGCCUUUGGACACUGUCUCGUCAGAGAUUCCAGCCGUGUUAUAGCCUCGUUGCUGAGGCACUGUGUCUGCGUGACAAGCCUGCCAGUGCGCUCCAGACUGUUAUGCUGCACCUGGAUCCUGCAGUAGUGAGGGGUGGCCCUUUCUCCACCCAGGUCUGUUACUCAAAGUACAGGAGGACUGUGGCCUUUCCUGUACAGAAUGAGUAUCGUAGGAGCAUCAUGGUAACUUUUAUUCAUGGUGAAAGUUAGAACUGCAACAGUUUUAUUCCUUUUGUCUUGAAAUGAACUCUUAAUACUUAUUGGGAAUUGUAAUUUAUAAACUUUCAACGAGAUGGCACAGGGGAAAGACUCUACUCCAACGUACAAUAAAAAUGUUGGUCUUUUAAGUAAAAUUACCCUUUGCAUUUUGGUUCCUGCCCAUCUUUCUGUUUUGCUGCCCAUUUAACUGUCUUCAGUCAUUUGAUCCAACUCUCAUGAAUGUGUUAUUUUAAAAAAUCAUUGUUGGAUACCACUAAAAUGGCUCAAAAGCUUUCUAGUGACUGGGUAAGGUUGCUGUAACUUGAGCACAGGAAAGAACCAUGUAGAUGAAAGCUUACAUUCUGUUUAACCUAAGCUGCGAUCUUGAGCUAGCAAGUUUAUAGCUCGGUGUUCUUAAGCAAUCUACCUGAAGAGCAUUUUGGAGAGUAAAGACAGAAAGGAACGUUAGAAAACCACUACAGACCGAUGCCUUCUACCUGAUGAUGUCUCGCACGUUUGGCUUGCUUCUCCACCUGUGUAUGAGGAAAUAAUUCCCCAUCAGUCAAGCAGUUUAAAACACUUUUACCAGCAACCUUGUUUAAACAUUAUUUUGUGUAUCAUGCCUUUUUUUCAUUGUGGAUACAUCUUGAUGGUUUCAUUAAGAUGUUAAGAUUUCAUAGCGUCUUCCACUGUCCUGUCAGAGUGAAUAUGGUGAAACUGAAGAUCUUGCAGCAAAAACGGGUCAGAGCAAUCUAAUCGAUAUAUUGUGCAACAAAUUGUUGCUAACCUGGAAAGCAGUUUUCUACUGGACGUUGUAUAAUGGAUGGACAAGCAAUAUAUUUAAGCUAAUAUUAUGUUGCAUUAGAAGUGAAAGCGAAAAUAAUAGCACUUAUGUACAUGUUAUAAGCCCUUUCCAGGCUUUUGUGCCUUAAACUCUUUGAGAAAUAGGAACAGAUAAACUACCUGUAAUAAAUGUCUAUCCAAGGAAUAGUUUGGUAACUGAAAUUGCUACUGCAAAGCAGUUAGUUGCCUCCAUGCCCAUGUUGAUGCAGAGAUUUGCCACAAAAUUUAAAUACUUUCAUAAAGCCUACUUCUACUACACCUUUGUUUGUGUCCAUAAUUAUGAUAUAAUUGUCAGUCUGUGGUCUUUUUAUCAACUGCAAUGGUAAACGCACUGUGAGUAUGUCGGGAAUGGUGACAUAUACUGGAGUUAGCGUAUUUCUGAACAAGUAGAACUGGAGGACUGCUGGACCCCUGCGUUCUCAUCUGCUGUGAAUUUUUUCCUCCUGCUGUGCAUCUGACUGUGCUGUGGGCUGUUAACAGUGUCCUAAGCUUCAGUUACUCUGAAUUUAAGGAAAUGAAUGUUCCCUGCGUGUGAUGGUGGUGCUUCAGAGGCAGCAGAGAAGUGGAAGAGAGCAGAGUGCUUUUUUUCUUCUGAUGUAGCUGGUCAGCUCAGAUGAUGCCCCUCUUCUUGAAAAGUGCCUGUUCAAUAGAGUGGCAUUUCAGAGCUCCCAGCCAUUAUUGCAGCAUCUGAAGCACAGAGGAGACUUUCAUGUGGAGCUACAAAACAGCUGGUCACCUGGAUUUUGUAGGGUUUGUGUUUUGGAAUCCAAGUUAAACAGAGUGUGGGAUUUUGUUUUUCAUGGACAGCUACAGGAAAAGCCCUGAUUAAUUACCAUUUAGCGUAACACAAGAUGAAAGACAAGGACUCCGUGUAGUAAGGUAAAUUCUGCUUUUAUCUUUAUGUGCUAAAGGCAAGAAAUCCAAGGCAGAUGAUAUCACAGCUCACUGGGAUUAUGUAAUUCUUGAAACUUGCAUCAAAAUCUGAGACUGAGAUUAUGAAGUAUUCUGCCUUUCAGCAUGCAAUAUUUACUAGUAAUUACAAAAACAACUCAAACAUUCUUACUAUGUUACUUGAUGAAGAUGUGAUGAUCCAAUUUAGAUUAAAUUGCAGGGACUCUCAGAUUACCAUUUGAGUUACAUAGACUGAAAAAUGUUUAGCCAACUGCAGAGCUGGAAAGACGUGGGCGUUCUCCUGUUGGGCAUGAAGUGGUGAUUUCCAAAGCAUAAGCUGCAAGGCUGCGGGGUGGCGUGUUGCCAUUAACAUGUGUUUAAUUAAAAGCUUGACAGUAAGCAUUGGGGGUGGCCUGUGAGAAAUUCUGACCAGCUUCCAAUGGGAUGAAGAGUUUGAAACCAUUUCUUUAGCAAAUGUGGGUCUGUACCAGCGCGGGCCCCUGUAUGGGCUGAGGGGUCUGAUGGGGGCUGGCGAUGCUGUUUUCUGUAUGUGCCUGACUAGAGAAAAUUCCUGUUACUUGGACUGGUUUCAGGAGACGGGUUCAUAUCCCGCACACCAAGAAGUACCGAACACCCUUAGGUAUUUCUCUGAAUCCCUUUUGAGGAACAAAGAUGUUUGACUCUGAUCUUUGCAUAGUCAGUUUCUCAUUACUGGUUUGCUAAUCCCCAGCUUCUGCUAAACAAGAUCUGAGAGGAAUUUUUACCUUCCAGCCUUGCUAUCUCCCGGUGCAUCUUGUAAAGCAUACUGGAUACACCAGUUUCUGGAUUUAACUUGGGAUUUGCUUAGACAUGAAAUUAAUUCAUUGGCAGGAUAGGGUAUGAAUUUUAAAUGCAACAGCCACAUUUAGAAACUGAUAGAUGGAGCUAGUUCAGCAAAUGUCACUCUGACAAAGCUUGCUUUACCUUUUUGCUUGGUUAGAGCAUUUCUUCAGAAAAUACCUCCUUUUUUUUUCAAGUUACUAUGCCUUUCUUCCUUAGCAGUUAUUCUCAGUCAGAAAUCCCUUUUGUUUUUUUCCAAGUUACUAUGCUUUUCUUCCUUAGCAGUUAUUCCCAGUCAAAAUGGUUUUACCAAGUGCAGUCAGUUUUGUAAGAAGAGGUUUGGGGUACUGCUUGGUACACACUCCUUUUUUCUCAGGUAUCAUGCUGCUUCUGCUGUAAAAUUUCCAGGGUGAAAGCAACAGUAGAUAACGCAGUUAAGGCGAUAUAGAUUGAGAGCUUUACGUGGCCAGGGCUUGUCUUGUCCCCUCAACACAUAGGAUCCCCGAGGAGCCACAGGCACAGCAACCCACCUGGACCGCUAAUUCAUACUUGCUUUUCCUUACUGUCAGUUUAUCGCAGAGCGCUUCCCUGCAGGUUGUCUGCUCCCACCUGUCUGCUGAUGGGAAUUGCAGCCUCUUCCAGUAUUUUCUCCCCAUCUUGCACUACGGAAGAGACUGAUGUGAGGCCAUACCGGGAGGUUUCAUCAGGGCUUUGCUGACCUUGUGGUUGAGCAUCCCAGAGAUGCAGUGGGAUUUUCUCUGCUUCUCUUUGGAUCUCCAUCCAUCUUCUCAUGAUGGGCUGAGGUCUACUGAGCAUCCAUUGGUUUUUGGUAUUGCUCUUUGGGGAUUCUCCCCAUUGAGCAUUUGGAAGAUUCUCUUCCCAAACACUUGAUGUUUACCAAAGUUUGAAUUUUGGGGGUGUUUUUUGGUUUUGUUUUUUUGUUUUUUUUUGCUACAGUGAGCUUCCAGUUUCUGUCCUGCCCUAGGAUUUGACAGGGAGAUUUCUAGGUUCAUCUUGCAUGAGUCGCUGUGCCAAGGAAAAUCCAGGCUGUCCAGGGAAUGCCUUGUGACUUGGCAGAGCAGCUGCAAGAUCUGUGGAGGACGGGACCAGCUGCUUUGACCUGUCCUGAGCCUGACCUGACCUGUCCCUGCCAACUUUGACAAGGGCUGUUUUUAGAAGAACUUGGUCACGCAAGGUUUGGGGCUCACUUCCAGACUUACUUCUGCUUUGAAUGGGUGCUGAGCUUAUUUUGUUGGUAAUGUGGCACGUCUGUCAUGGGGUUACCAGCUUGAAAGGGCAAUUCCUGAGCACUAUGAAUUUUUUCAUUUGUGAAUUUUGCUCAGAACAGAUUAAACACUAACUGUUCUUCUCCCUCACCCUUUCUGCACUUUCUCCAGGGCUCAGGGGCAAGAAGCAGUCUCGGGCUUUUCAACCUGAUUUCUCACGGUGGCUGUGGCUUCAGCAUCAGUACCUGCAGAAAUUUCAGCACUCCCUUCCAACCAGUUGGCAAGUGCUCUCAUCCUUUCCGCCAAUUAUGGAUCGUAAGCCAGGAACCUGACAGAGUAUCUUGGCAUGGAAGGUGAUGCUAGUGUGUGGGAUGGCUGGUGACAGCCUCAGCUCGGCGGCGUUGGGCAGGUGAGACGUGUGAUUCAGGCUCUGGAAUCUCCCCUUGUGCUGGGAAUUUGAUUGCCUUCGUAGCCUCCCUUGGCCGGAGCAGCGAGCAGCAGUAUUUCCUGGCCCUCUGCUAGCAGAUACUGCCAGCGCGGUGCUUGUUCCAGGUGCUGUGGAUCCUCUGCAGGGCUCAUGCUUGGGCUUAGGCCAUGCAGAGGAGGAUUUCCCGCUGGCAGGGCCCGUUACAAGUAUUGAUCCAGUCAUGAACUGCAGACUCCCCUUAUUUCCUGCUGUGUGGAGAUCAUGUAUGGGUGGGAUAAGGGGACUUUCUCUCCUCAGCGUCACUGGGCCUGGUUAGUGGCAGAACUGGGAAUCAAAUCUGAUCCAAAGCCAGCAGAUCACUCUGCUUUUGCUCCAUCUGCUGCUCUGAAGCUGUAGCAGACAUUCCCAGGCGAGCUCAGUGGUGACUCUGCAUGUUUAUCCAAGAGCUGUGGCUCUGUGCAAUAGCUACAGGUCUCCAACAACAUGCGAGAGCAACGGAAGGUCUUUGACUGCUGGGCCUUUUUUGCCUGUUGCUGUCACUCGCCCCUCCUAUAUAUUUUCAGGAAUUGGGGCGUUUCUUCUUGCAGGGCACUGGUGGUUUCUGGGUGGGGUGUGUCAAUGACAUGUGGUCGUGAGCCUGCAGCAAGCUGCUGACGUUAAGGGGGGUGUUGCGAUGUCUUCCAGGGUUGCUUGGUGUUUUGGAGCUCGCUCAGUCGACGGCCUGCCUGCCGGAUAGAGCCGAGGUGAGGACGUAAUGCCUUUGUCAGAGCUCUGUAGCCUGUCCCUCCAGAUCCCUUUCCCAUCAGAUCUGAAUACCGAUCUUGUGGUCGAAAAAGGAGGAAAAACAAAA